rnacentral:sRNA from 1 species
GUGUCUGCACUAAGUUUGGUAUUGAUAUGGUGCUCCUGGGGGAGCCCGGGGCCACCAGGUUGACCAAGGAGGGGUGCACUGGCCCAGGUCGGAGACGGAGCAGGUCAAAGCCCCCGUACCGCUCAGUAGUGGGAUCACAC